UGGUAGGAGAGCGUUCCGUAAGCCUGCGAAGGUGCCUUGUAAAGGGUGCUGGAGGUAUCGGAAGUGCGAAUGCUGACAUGAGUAGCGAUAAAGGGGGUGAAAGGCCCCCUCGCCGUAAGCCCAAGGUUUCCUACGCAACGUUCAUCGGCGUAGGGUGAGUCGGCCCCUAAGGCGAGGCAGAAAUGCGUAGCUGAUGGGAAGCAGGUCAAUAUUCCUGCACCAUUGUUAGAUGCGAUGGGGGGACGGAUCGCGGAAGGUUGUCCGGGUGUUGGAAGUCCCGGUCGCUGCAUUGGAGAAGGCGCUUAGGCAAAUCCGGGCGCGUAAUUCAAGGGUGUGGCGCGAGCUCCUUAGGGAGCGAAGCAAUUGGAAGUGGUUCCAAGAAAAGCCUCUAAGCUUCAGUCUAACGAUGACCGUACCGCAAACCGACACAGGUGGGCGAGAUGAGUAUUCUAAGGCGCUUGAGAGAACUCGGGAGAAGGAACUCGGCAAAUUGGUACCGUAACUUCGGGAUAAGGUACGCCCUUGUAGCUUGACCAGCCUGCGCUGGAAGGGUGAAGGGGUUGCAAUAAACUGGUGGCUGCGACUGUUUAAUAAAAACACAGCACUCUGCAAACACGAAAGUGGACGUAUAGGGUGUGACGCCUGCCCGGUGCCGGAAGAUUAAAUGAUGGGGUGCAAGCUCUUGAUUGAAGUCCCGGUAAACGGCGGCCGUAACUAUAACGGUCCUAAGGUAGCGAAAUUCCUUGUCGGGUAAGUUCCGACCUGCACGAAUGGCGUAACGAUGGCCACACUGUCUCCUCCCGAGACUCAGCGAAGUUGAAGUGUUUGUGAUGAUGCAAUCUACCCGCGGCUAGACGGAAAGACCCCAUGAACCUUUACUGUAGCUUUGCAUUGGACUUUGAACCGAUCUGUGUAGGAUAGGUGGGAGGCUAUGAAACCGGAACGCUAGUUUCGGUGGAGCCGUCCUUGAAAUACCACCCUGGUUUGUUUGAGGUUCUAACCUUGGCCCGUGAUCCGGGUCGGGGACAGUGCAUGGUAGGCAGUUUGACUGGGGCGGUCUCCUCCCAAAGCGUAACGGAGGAGUACGAAGGUACGCUAGGUACGGUCGGAAAUCGUGCUGAUAGUGCAAUGGCAUAAGCGUGCUUAACUGCGAGACCGACAAGUCGAGCAGGUGCGAAAGCAGGUCAUAGUGAUCCGGUGGUUCUGUAUGGAAGGGCCAUCGCUCAACGGAUAAAAGGUACUCUGGGGAUAACAGGCUGAUACCGCCCAAGAGUUCAUAUCGACGGCGGUGUUUGGCACCUCGAUGUCGGCUCAUCUCAUCCUGGGGCUGUAGCCGGUCCCAAGGGUAUGGCUGUUCGCCAUUUAAAGAGGUACGUGAGCUGGGUUUAAAACGUCGUGAGACAGUUUGGUCCCUAUCUGCCGUGGGCGUUGGAUAUUUGAAGGGGGCUGCUCCUAGUACGAGAGGACCGGAGUGGACGAACCUCUGGUGUACCGGUUGUCACGCCAGUGGCAUCGCCGGGUAGCUAUGUUCGGAAGAGAUAACCGCUGAAAGCAUCUAAGCGGGAAACUCGCCUUAAGAUGAGAUAUCCCUGGGGACUAGAUCCCCUUGAAGGGUCGUUCGAGACCAGGACGUUGAUAGGUCAGGUGUGUAAGCGCAGUAAUGCGUUCAGCUAACUGAUACUAAUUGCCCGUAAGGCUUGAUCCUAUAACA
rnacentral:rRNA from 1 species